rnacentral:rRNA from 1 species
AGGACGAACGCUGGCGGCGUGCUUAACACAUGCAAGUCGAGCGGAAAGGCCCUUCGGGGUACUCGAGCGGCGAACGGGUGAGUAACACGUGAGUAAUCUGCCCCUAGCUCUGGGAUAGCUCCGGGAAACCGGGAUUAAUACCAGAUACGACCACUUUAGACAUCUUCUGUGGUGGAAAGAACUUCGGCUAGGGAUGAACUCGCGGCCUAUCAGCUUGUUGGUGAGGUAACGGCUCACCAAGGCGACGACGGGUAGCCGGCCUGAGAGGGCGACCGGCCACACUGGGACUGAGACACGGCCCAGACUCCUACGGGAGGCAGCAGUGGGGAAUAUUGCGCAAUGGGCGAAAGCCUGACGCAGCGACGCCGCGUGGGGGAUGAAGGCCUUCGGUUGUAAACCCCUUUCAGCAGGACGAAGCGAAGUGACGGUACCUGCAGAAGAGCGCCGGCUACUACGCGCCAGCAGCCGC